ACAACAGAUAGUCUAUUCAACCCAGAGCCCAAAUCAUCAGCAACCAAAACGCUGGUUCCUCUUUCCUCCUAGGUCCUCAAACAUUUCCAAGGGAGGAGGCAGAAUUACAUUCUGCAGAAUUCACUUGCUGUUUGCUUGACUGUUUUCUCCUACUGAGUAGAAGCUUCUUGAAGGCCUGGACUGGGUCUUUUUGCCAUUGACUAUGGAGGGGAUUUUCAGGGAUGUUGAUUACCAACGAACGUUCUGGAAGGCCUGUGGCAUGCACACGUCCUCCCUCAGGAGACCACGAGGGAAUAGGAGAAAACAGACGUCCCGGAAAAGAAUUCUCAAAUGGGAACUCUGGCUUCCAAGUCUGGUUCAGCCACACCACAGCUGUGGCCUUGGAAGUUUGCUUUAACAUCUCAGCAUGUGAGUGUCCUCCUAUGUGAAAUGACGACCAGAAGCCGACAUCCACCUGGCACUCGGGAGCCUGCACAAGUAUGUUCAUUGGAGCGGGUCCAUGAAAGUGGAAAACUGGAAACAUCCCACAGUGCAACAAUUCGUUUAAACAAAUGAAGACACACGCACACCAUGGAACGGUAUCAUCCGUGGGUGAUGACGUGGAUGUUCAUACACAGGAAGGAUAUUUGUGGCCCAUUACCAAGUAGAGAAGUUGUUGUAGUUCAGUAGGCAUAGCGCUAUGUCAUUUUUGUUAAUUUUGUAAAAAUAAAAUAUUUACACGUAUCAUCAUUCAUCUGUUUAACAAGAUUUACUCUGCACAGUUUCACUGGGAUGUGCAUUUACAUGCGGGUAUAUGGGUAUAAAUUGUCCAAGGAUCUCCACCAAGAUACAAUGUCUCUACAGGGGGUUCUUUUUCUGUUGGGCUUAGCUGGUUUUCAAAUUCUUUCACAAUGAACUUGUGUCAUAAAGAAAUAAUAGAGAUAUAAAAUGUUUACAAUGCAGAAGCUGGAACACCAGGGUCUGCCUCCAACCAGGGGCAUUUUGGUGGGGCCAAGUUCAUCUGCUGGUUGCUUGGGGAAUGAGGAACCCAAGCAAAGGCCUGAGAGGUUUUAAGGGAAUUCAUUUGGGCUCUGGAGGAGUCAAUAAUCUCUUUUUCUCCCUCUCUCCCCCUUGUUGUGAAUGUCUGUGUCUACUUCUCUCCGCUGAGCAAACACACCCAGGUGUCUGCUCCUAGGGGCCUUCCUGGAUUUUAGGAUUCCUAUUUGUUCUUCGGGCAGGCCAUACAACUCCACUGAUCAGGCAAGGCCUCUGGAACUCCGGUCUCUACAUUCCAGUCAUGUUCAGGAGAUGAUACCCUGGGCAUCCCGAUCAGACAUUGGUGUUGCCCCAAUCCCAGUCACCCACCAGGACAGGGGCCAUCUUCGAAGGAAUGCUUCUCCCCCAGGGAGCAUAUCACAUUUCUGACACCAUGAGUCAUUCUGGUUUCAACCCAGAAUGUAAUGCCACUUCCAGGUUGUAUGGGCACCUCCCUGUCAGUCAUUCCCUGAUUUAUAAUAAUGAAUAAAAGUUACCAUAUAUCGGCAUUUCUGUCCCAGAUCCUGUGCUGGGCAUGGGCUCGGG